AAACUUAGGUUAGACAAACCAGGGGCCUUCAAAGCCCAAAACAGGGACCACCCACCCUAAUUUCUG
rnacentral:tRNA from 1 species